GUUUAAAGGGUGCGCAGGCGGAAUAUUAAGUCAUUGGUGAAUUCCUGCAGCUUAACUGUAGAACUGCCAUGGAUACUGAUAUUCUUGAAUAUAGUUGAGGUAGCCGGAAUGUGUAAUGUAGCGGUGAAAUGCUUAGAUAUUACACAGAACACCAAUUGCGAAGGCACCUCACUAAACUAAUAUUGACGCUGAGGCACGAAAGCGUGGGUAGCAAACAGGAUUAGAUACCCUGGUAGUCCACGCUGUAAACUAUGAUCACUCGCUGUUGGCAAUACAUCGUCAGCGGCUGAGCGAAAGCAUUAAGUGAUCCACCUGGGGAGUACGGUCGCAAGAUUGAAACUCAAAGGAAUUGACGGGGGCCCGCACAAGCGGAGGAACAUGUGGUUUAAUUCGAUGAUACGCGAGGAACCUUACCUGGGCUUAAAUGCAGAGCGACGUCCGCCGAAAGGUGGAUUCCUUCGGGCGAUCUGCAAGGUGCUGCAUGGUUGUCGUCAGCUCGUGCCGUGAGGUGUCGGGUUAAGUCCCAUAACGAGCGCAACCCUUAUCGUUAGUUGCCAGCGGGUAAUGCCGGGGACUCUAACGAAACUGCCGGUGUAAACCGUGAGGAAGGUGGGGAUGACGUCAAAUCAGCACGGCCAUUAUGUCCAGGGCUACACACGUGUUACAAUGGUCGGUACAGAGGGCAGCUACCACGCGAGUGGAUGCUAAUCUCGAAAACCGGUCUCAGUUCGGAUUGAAGUCUGCAACUCGACUUCAUGAAGCUGGAUUCGCUAGUAAUCGCGCAUCAGCCAUGGCGCGGUGAAUACGUUCCCGGGCCUUGUACACACCGCCCGUCAAGCCAUGGAAGCUUGGGGUACAUGAAGUCCGUAACCGCAAGGAGUGGCCUAGGGUAAGACAUCUACUGGGGCUGAGUCGUA
rnacentral:rRNA from 1 species